CACGGCAGACACCACAACGCUUGGAACUCCACCCAAUUCAUACGCACCACUGGUUGAACGGGUCGAUUCAGAAGCUGGUCGUGUCAUCGUGUAUUUGAAGGAGGUUCCAAAAAAUAUUCCAAUGAGUUACAAGCUACAAAUGAAACAACUUUAUCCAGUGAAAAGUCUCCGUUCUGCUGUGAUCAAAGUCUAUGACUACUAUCAACCAAGUGACCAGUCUGAGACUGCAUACUCCUCCCCCUGUGCAUGAGAGUAUCCAGCUUCAGGACAGUUGAUGCUAUCAUUCUUAAAUGAUUUUGCAAGGUUAUUUGUCUUUCUCAGCCUGCUGCUAAUAAAUUAUAUAUCUUUACGCACUGGUUUUUGUGCUGCAUGUAAAUAAAGUGGUCACAGAUA